UGCCUGUUGAGCACGUGUCAACUGGGAG
rnacentral:piRNA from 1 species